rnacentral:rRNA from 1 species
UGGGGAAUAUUGGACAAUGGGCGAAAGCCUGAUCCAGCCAUGCCGCGUGUGUGAAGAAGGUCUUCGGAUUGUAAAGCAUUUUAAGUUGGGAGGAAGGGCAGUAAGCGAAUACCUUGCUGUUUUGACGUUACCGACAGAAUAAGCACCGGCUAACUCUGUGCCAGCAGCCGCGGUAAUACAGAGGGUGCAAGCGUUAAUCGGAAUUACUGGGCGUAAAGCGCGCGUAGGUGGUUCGUUAAGUUGAAUGUGAAAGCCCCGGGCUCAACCUGGGAACUGCAUCCAAAACUGGCGAGCUAGAGUAGGGCAGAGGGUGGUGGAAUUUCCUGUGUAGCGGUGAAAUGCGUAGAUAUAGGAAGGAACACCAGUGGCGAAGGCGACCACCUGGGCUCAUGCUGACGCUGAGGUGCGAAAGCGUGGGGAGCAAACAGG